AACUUUCGACAAUGGAUCACUUGGCUCUCGCAUCGAUGAAGAACGCAGCGAAAUGCGAUAAGUAAUGUGAAUUGCAGAAUUCCGUGAAUCAUUAAAUCUUUGAACGCACAUUGCGCCCUCUGGUUAUUCCUAAGGGCAUGCCUGUUCGAGAAUCAGUUUAACCAUCAAACCUAUUGUUGUAAAAAACAGUAAGUUUGGAUUUGGGACUUCUCGAUAGAGAGACCCUAAUAAUAUUUGUUGCCCUACUCUAGCGAGACUAUGUGAAAAGGCAUGACCAUUGAACGCAAGUUCUCUAACAAUGCUAUUAGUAAUAUUUUCUUUCUAAAGAUUGAGUGCACGGAAAUUUUCACGAAGAAGUAAAAUUCUUUAAGACUUGAUCUCGAAUCAGACAAGACUACCCGCUGAACUUAAGCAUAUCAAUAAGCGGAGGCU
rnacentral:misc_RNA from 1 species